rfam:Sus scrofa chromosome 8.
UCCCUGGUGGUCUAGUGGUCAGGAUUUCAAGUUUUCACCUCUACAACUUGGGUUCAAUCCCUGGUCUGGGAA